rnacentral:tRNA from 1 species
GCAGUGAUGGUUAAGGCGCUGGACUUGAAGUCCAAUAGGAUUUUCCUGAGUAGGUUUGAAUCCUGCUCACAGCA